rnacentral:lncRNA from 1 species
CUUCCAGGGCCCCCUGGCUGCGGACUCUGUCCCCUGAACUGGCUGCUGCAUGAGGACAAGUGCUACUGGCUUUCCAAAGAGAGCAAAACCUGGAACCAGAGCCGUGACGACUGCUCGGCGAAGAGCUCUCGCAUGCUCGUGAUCCGGGACCAGCGUGAGAUGGCAUUCAUAAAAACCAUCACAGAGGGGAAAUACCCAGUUUGGAUCGGACUGCACCUGACAACCACCAAGGGAAACUGGACGUGGGUGGAUGGUUCCCUGUUAAAUCAAACAGGGGUCUCGCUAUCGGCCCCCGACACUGGACACAGCUGUGGGGUGUGGAAGGAGAAUCAGAUUCGUGGUGAAAUCUGCAGUGGCAGCUUUAAAUGGAUUUGCCAGAGAGAAGCUGUCCUGAUAUAGACGGCAUGAACGGAUCCCCUAUUUGAUUAAGGGACACACAGGACUAAGGUUCGGGCUUUGGGUAAAGCUCUCAAAGGUGGAGGGCCGUCGCCGGGCCUGGGAAAACGCCACCCUCCACUGUGUCAGUGCCGGGACGCUUUAGCAAUACACAAGGGAAAGAGCACCCCCCCAAGGGGCACGUGCAUGCACAGAAUGAACUGGUCUGCAUGCAAACACACGUACGAAUGGAACACACGCAGAGCAGCACUUCGCAGGCCGUGGCUGUAAG